rnacentral:rRNA from 1 species
AACGCGAAGAACCUUACCAGGUCUUGACAUCCCGGUGACCACUAUGGAGACAUAGUUUCCCCUUCGGGGGCAACGGUGACAGGUGGUGCAUGGUUGUCGUCAGCUCGUGUCGUGAGAUGUUGGGUUAAGUCCCGCAACGAGCGCAACCCUUAUUCUUAGUUGCCAUCAUUCAGUUGGGCACUCUAAGGAGACUGCCGGUGAUAAACCGGAGGAAGGUGGGGAUGACGUCAAAUCAUCAUGCCCCUUAUGACCUGGGCUACACACGUGCUACAAUGGACGGUACAAACGGUUGCCAACCCGCGAGGGGGAGCUAAUCCGAUAAAACCGUUCUCAGUUCGGAUUGUAGGCUGCAACUCGCCUACAUGAAGCCGGAAUCGCUAGUAAUCGCGGAUCAGCAUGCCGCGGUGAAUACGUUCCCGGGCCUUGUA